AAUAAUUUCUACUCGAAGUUGGUGCUUCCCCCACCCCCAACACUCAGCUCUACCCCUUUCCAGGUGGGACAGGCUCUGUGUUCACGCCCAGGCUCUUUCGGACCUUGUGACUUGGCUCCCAACCCCAAGGAGUCGGUUGCAGGGGAAGAGAGCUGUUAGUAGCCAGGCUCAGGUUUCCAACCUGGCCAGGUUCCCCAGGCACUUGAGCAGGCAAAAUAAGCCAGCUCUCCCCCUCCCUGGACUAUUCCUCGCUGCCUGGCUUUGCAGGAAGCUCAGCAGUUUUCAGCGGGCAGACUUGGGCCAUCUGGUCUGGGUCUGGAGGGAAGGAGUCUUGGGCACACCUGAACUGAGCCCCUGUGGAGGGACCAUGGAGCCCGGGGAUUCAGCUGAGGGGUCGUCCUUGGAGUCUUCACGUGGAAAGUCCCUCCCAGAAUCUGCUUGGUCAUGGAUUCCGAUGAUGAAGGACCCUGGAUGGAUUCGGAAUGUAUGGACUUCGAAUCUUAAUGUGAGUAGUUUAAAGAACAGCCAAUCUGUUUUCAUUCCAAUUAAUUUGCAUUUAUUUCCUCUGUCUCCCAUUUACCCCUCACGACCUGUCCCUUCCCGAGAAAAAAAUAAAACAAGAUGCAUUGCCAAGGAAAAUAAAUCCCCACAUUGGUCCCAUUGGAAACCGAGUGCCUCGUUCUGCACAUUUUGACCCCUUCUCUUUGUCAGGGCCUAGUUAGAAUUCUUUGUCACUGGUCCUUGGAGCCGUGACUGGUCAUCGCGGUGAUCAGAAGAGCCCGUACAUCUUCUCCUUUUAACUGUGGGGCUGGGGGCAAAGCUUGUGUUCAAGUGAGGGGAGGCUUCCUUCCUGGUUCCUUUGUUUACCAAGCCUUUAUCACUCACCCAAACUCUUAUUUUGGACACAUAUUCUGCUUAUAGUUGGAGCCCACUGAAAGCCAGUCCAACAAAGUGAGUGGCCACGUUCUAUAGAUCCAGGCAGGACCUCAGAGGCCAUCGAGGCCAACCCUGACCUGAACAAGAAUCCUCAAGGCCAUCUACCCAUCGUGUAGCCUUGUCUUGGAUGACUUGGAUGGAAAGGGAUUCCCGUCCUCCCAAGGCUAUCCAUUCCUUCUUGGGAUGGCUUUGAUUAAGUCAAUCCAAUAAGCAUUUAUUAAGCACCGUGCCAUGCUUUCUGAUUAGAAUUAGAGAAUAUUGCCUUACAUCAGCCUCACAUCUCUUUCUUUUUACCCACUGCUUCUUGUAUGGGCCUCUGUGGUCAAGGAGAGGAAAUCAGAUUCUUUUUCCCUGGAAGAGCCCUUGGGUUACAGAAAAGCAACUAUGAUGUUCUCUUCCUAAUUUUCUCUCUACCUCUUUUUUAAAUUUCAAAAUGAUUUAUUAAGACAUUUUAAAAUUAAAAUACAAAGACUGCUUCUUGGUUUGUGGUUCACUGAAUCAGCCAAUUGUUAGGUAUUCAUUCAACUGGCCUUUUGGAUCCUAGGAAAAAUCCUUGUUUAAAAUAAAACAAGCAAUGGAGACUCUUCA
rnacentral:lncRNA from 1 species